GGAUCAGAAGGAGGUCCUGCAUUUUAAGACACAUGUAUUACUGGAGACCUUGCUUCCGCUAUGGAAGGUAUAGGAGAUGCAGAUACCGUUGGUACCCAUUUUACUGGAGGAGAUACUGCCCUCGCUAUUACCAGCGUUACUAUUGUACCAGGUGUAGCAGCUAUACCCGCUAUCUCAGACACUGGCACUGGUGAUGUGACCUUUACAGCUUCAGCAAUGGAAUAUUCUUUAACAAAUCUGCAUCUGUAGAGUGGAGAUUCAUCUUUAAAUGCCUUUGAAACUGCAUCUCUGCUACUUCUAUUUCAGUACUAUGAAGCAUACUCUGUGAAAGGAUAUGUAGGGAUCAACAAGAAACAGUAUCACCAAAGAAAACAAGUAUGGAAAAUAAAAUUAAAGCAUUGCUAUUCAAACAAAGCUAUAAUGUGUCAUUUCAGAGCGUAAUGUAUACACUCGCAACAGAAUUUUUUUUACCAAGGUAAAAGUUCAAGAACAGUAGCAUUUCAUACUUUUUAGACAACUUUAAGGGAUAAAUGGAUUUUAUCUAUGAAUUAUGGAAAUAAGAAUCAAAUUAAUUCCAUUUAUUAACAUGGUAUGUUACCAUUGGUUAUUUCAUAAUAUGACAGUUGGAAAAAUAAAUAUCACAUUCCAGAAACUUCUAUGUUGACUCAUACUAGUAUAAAACUUUAAAUGAGCUAUACAAAAUUCAGCACUAUUGUUGGAUAUGUUUGUGUUUCAAAUAAACCAUGUAAAAUAAUUAUAUUUUAUGUUUAAAUUAACACUUUAACAGGUUUUAUAAACAAUCUGACAUGCUGUAGGCAUGUUCAAAGUUAUAUUAGGAAAGUCUGAUGUUUUGUACAGACUUGAUUGACAGUUACGCAAAAUCAUGUUACUAGGUUUUCUUUCUUGAAACUGUGUAGUAAUAAAGUCGCCUUUUACAUUUUAUGAGGAGGGUUUAGCAGUCUAUGCUUUGUUUGGGGAGAUGCACAUUAGGAAUCUACUAAUGAUGACCUUUGAACUUGCUCUUCUGCAUAUGACUCUUUGCAUUGCAGGCUACUGCCUGUUAUACUUGUAAUAGUAAUAUUUCUGUAGUUUUUCGUUGCUGUGAACUGCCUAUGCUAUUAAUAAAAUAAAAUGAAAAUUAAAAUAAAAAAAGAAGUUAAACUAA